ACCAGCCUCUUCUUCCAAUCUUGUUCUCUCAUUAUUUCAGCUCCUUUGUUCCUUUAUAACAAGGGUCUUUGUGACCUCGUGAUUUGAAAAGGAAAUUCAUCCAACGCAAACCAGGAUCUCCAAUUUUCCAAUUAUUCUCACUAUCGGGUAGUGAUUUUGCUCUGAAUCUUCUUCAGGAGACUUCUUUAUUUUGUCACUUUCGUAGAGGACCAGUGCAGACCAUCUGUCCAUAGAUGAGGAGUACGAUGAUGAGAACAGUCCAAACUUCAGAAUAGAUCGAACAUUACGCUUGAAAUUUGUUCAUCCUGUUCCCUUGAAGAAGCCAGAAGAUAUAACGUGUAUUUGAGUUGCGGUGAAGACAAAGGAGAUCAGGAGACAGAGGUGAUCAGGAGACAGAGGAGAUCAGGAG